CGCGNCUAUCAUGCAAGUCGAGCGAACAGAUAAGGAGCUUGCUCCUUUGACGUUUAGCGGCGGACGGGUUGAGUAACACGUGGAUAACCUACCUAUAAGACUGGGAUAACUUCGGGAAACCGGAGCUAAUACCGGAUAACAUAUUGAACCGCAUGGUUCAAUAGUGAAAGGCGGCUUUGCUGUCACUUAUAGAUGGAUCCGCGCCGUAUUAGCUAGUUGGUAAGGUAACGGCUUACCAAGGCAACGAUACGUAGCCGACCUGAGAGGGUGAUCGGCCACACUGGAACUGAGACACGGUCCAGACUCCUACGGGAGGCAGCAGUAGGGAAUCUUCCGCAAUGGGCGAAAGCCUGACGGAGCAACGCCGCGUGAGUGAUGAAGGUCUUCGGAUCGUAAAACUCUGUUAUCAGGGAAGAACAAAUGUGUAAGUAACUGUGCACAUCUUGACGGUACCUGAUCAGAAAGCCACGGCUAACUACGUGCCAGCAGCCGCGGUAAUACGUAGGUGGCAAGCGUUAUCCGGAAUUAUUGGGCGUAAAGCGCGCGUAGGCGGUUUUUUAAGUCUGAUGUGAAAGCCCACGGCUCAANCCGUGGAGGGUCAUUGGAAACUGGAAAACUUGAGUGCAGAAGAGGAAAGUGGAAUUCCAUGUGUAGCGGUGAAAUGCGCAGAGAUAUGGAGGAACCACCAGUGGCGAAGGCGACUUUCUGGUCUGUAANCUGACGCUGAUGUGCGAAAGCGUGGGGAUCAAACAGGAUUAGAUACCCUGGUAGUCCACGCCGUAAACGAUGAGUGCUAAGUGUUAGGGGGUUUCCGCCCCUUAGUGCUGCAGCUAACGCAUUAAGCACUCCGCCUGGGGAGUACGACCGCAAGGUUGAAACUCAAAG
rnacentral:rRNA from 1 species